rnacentral:rRNA from 1 species
UGGGGAAUCAUGGUCAAUGGGCGAAAGCCUGAACCUGCGACGCCGCGUGAGUGAUGAAGGUCGUAAGAUCGUAAAACUCUUUUCAGGGAUCUUAAAGCCUGUCUGUCAACAACAGGCAGGUCUGACUCUCCCUGGAAGAAGCAGCAGCCACCUCCGUGCCAGCAGAUGCGGUAAUACGUAGGGGGCGCGCGUUAUUCGGAAUUACUGGGUGUAAAGGGUAUGUAGGCGGCCCUUCAAGUCGCGUGUCAAAGUCCAGUGCUCAACGCUGGGUGUGCACGCGAUACUGACGGGCUUGAGGGCUGGAGAGGUGAGCGGAAUUCCCGGUGUAGUGGUAAAAUACGUAGAGAUCGGGAGGAACACCAGCGGCGCAGGCGGCUCACUAGACAGUUUCUGACGCUAAGAUACGAAAGCGUGGGGAGCUAACA